rnacentral:rRNA from 1 species
AACGAACGCUGGCGGCAUGCCUAACACAUGCAAGUCGGACGCUUCGGGGGUUUCGGCCCCCGGGGAGUGGCGCACGGGUGAGUAGCGCGUGGGAACCUGUCCCUUUGUGGGGGAUAACCGAGGGAAACUUCGGCUAAUACCGCAUGCGCCCGGGCAACCGGGGAAAGAUUUAUCGCAGAGGGAGGGGCCCGCGUCGGAUUAGGUAGUUGGUGGGGUAACGGCAUACCAAGCCUUUGAUCCGUAGCUGGUCUGAGAGGAUGAUCAGCCACACUGGGACUGAGACACGGCCCAGACUCCUACGGGAGGCAGCAGUGGGGAAUAUUGGACAAUGGGCGCAAGCCUGAUCCAGCAAUGCCGCGUGAGUGAUGAAGGCCUUCGGGUUGUAAAGCUCUUUGGGCGGGGACGAUGAUGACGGUACCCGCAGAACAAGCCCCGGCUAACUUCGUGCCAGCCGCCGCAGUAAAAC